CCUGGCUGCAGCAUGUGUGUGUGGUCACAGGCAGGGAGGCGAGAAGCUGAAAUCAAUCCAGGCAGCCUGGUGGCCAACCCAGGAGUUGAGUUAAGUGGAUGGAGGAGUCCAGAGCGUAAGGCCCAAGAGGUCGUAGACCUUUCUCUGUCUGUUCAUCAUGUGAUCUCCAGCAUCUGGAAGAGUCUGGCACAAAGACUUCCACGCAUUUGGAGAUUUUCCUGAGCUGGGAGGUGAGCAAACAUAUCGUUCUUUUGAUCUUAACACUUCCCUAAGAAACAGCUACUAACAUGGGUCAUGGUGUCAGUGGCAGUUGCAUGAUUCUUUGAUUCAUGAUUCUCUGACUCAGCUUCGAUAUACUGGAGCAUCAGGGUGGAGCAGCCGGGUGUGGAAGUGGUAAGA